UCCAUUAAAUUAUUACUUUUUUAAAUCAUCCACUUUCAUAUUCUUUAAUUCUAUUGGAUGCAUGCAUUGUAUUUAUUAGGAUGAUCCAAACUACAAGAAGAUAAUAAUUAUUUCUUGGUCUUGGGAUUAUAUCAUUAAGAACACAUAUAAAAGUUUUAUUCAUAAGAGCAAGGCUAAUAAUACAGCCGACCUAUUGUCUAUAAGGUUCUCUGUAGCUUUCUCUCAGCCUACCCAUAUAAUAGUUAGCUCUUUACAAUUAAUAUAUGACCCACUUGUCUCUUUCACAGUGUUUCUUGGUUCUUGUGUCCAAGCCGGCUGUAAGUUUACAGCCCGCUUCUCCUAUCUCUCCUCUCUUUUCUCCUCAACUCAGCAUUUAGCCGGCUUAUAGCCUACUAUUAUACUUGCUCUAAAUUAUUUUUCAUUUGUAAAUAUGCUUUCGUUUUUUUUCUUAUCAGCUAAACGAUGGGGCUGAAAGUGUACAUGUUGUGAAAAAAAAAUAAGAAAGAGCUAAAAACCUCAUGUUAGGAAGGCGAAGCAGGAAGUAUUCCUUAACUAGCCAGGACCCCGCGCGUUGCCGCGGGCAUAUUAAAUGACCAAAUCAGAAGCUAUUUGCAUCUUUUGUCAACAAUUGGAAUAUUCUUUAUGAAUAUAAUGAAAAAAUUGUAUCAAUUGUUCCACAGAUUUAUAUAUACAUGACCUCUGUUUGCUUAUUUACCUUGAUGAGCUAAAUAAAGUAUACGUCAUAUAUCUGAAUUGGGAAUAAAUCAAUCAUCGUGAUAUAAGGAAGCAUUGAAAUCGUGAGAGAAUCAUUUCCUCCAUUAGCUAAACAAAAAUUUGUGAGAACCAUUUCCUCCAUUAGCUACUUAAAGAGGCCAACAGAGCAUGCAUACUCAAUUCACUUCAAAUACACCGAAAUAGGCACUGGCAGAAUAUGGAGGAACAAAUCCCUUGUACUUGGUAGCACCAAUAGAAAAAUCUCUUCAUAGAAGUAGCACCAGCAGCUUGACGAAAUAUUAUUAUCCUACUCAUUAAGUUGAGCUGAAAUAAUAGACAUGAAGGCUAUUAAAAUACAAUAUAUCCAAACAAUUACCUGAGUAGGGAGAGCAGUAUAAUAGUGUCCCUCUGAUAUAUAGAUUUUAAGCAAAAAAAAAUUAGAAGCCCAUAUACAGUAAGCAAAUGGAAUGAAAGAUGCAUAAGUAUGAUAUAUAGAAUUUAAAUCAAUCAUAAAACCAUUAGAAGCUCAUAGGAUUAAAAAUAAAGCAGAAAUGUUAUAUGGCUCAGGGGAACUUGAACAAAGUUGGCAGAUUAUUUCUUGACUUAGGCAAGCACUGCACUUGGCAUUAAGUUAAAUAAUGUUAAUAUAAUCUUAUCAACUAUAAUAUCUUCGUCUAAAUAAUAUCCUCAUCUAAAUAAUCUUGUAUAAAAAGACAAAUAAGAAUAGCUAAUCAAGAUGUUUGGUUAAAAAAAUAACUAAAACAAUAAUAUGAGCAUCUCUAGUGUAGAAACAUGUAAAGGGUGAAGGAUAUGUAACAAUGUAUGAUACCUUCGAAGGGCUAGUGAACAAUAAUUGUAUGCAUCACCCACAAAAAAGGGUCUAUAAUUGUCAAUGUUAUGAUAGGAUACUUUGCAUGGAAAUUGAAGAGCACAUCAACAACAUAUGCAUUUGGAAUAUAAGAACACAUGAAGAUAACUCUGAUGGAGUUGACAUAUGUAUAUAUGACAUAUAUCUUAUGUAGCCAAUAACCUAGGUAAGUUAGAAAUGGUAGGUAGGCACUAAAAGAGAGGAUUUUGACAUAAAACUGAUAAAUCUCUUCACUAACAAAUGCAACAUCUCGUUAUUCAUAUACCUUUUGCUUGCCUAAUUCAUGCUGCAGGAAUUUUUAUGGUGUGCUCUAGGCAUCAAUGGGCCAGAAGCUUAGCAUAUGAAAACAUGUCUUAACAUAAGCAAAUAAUAUACUUAUCCAACAAUUGUUCAUAAUUAGGCAGUGGCUACAAUACUUUGUUUGGGGAGAAACUGAGUUGAAGACUGAGAAGUUGUCACUGAAUAUCGAGUCAUAGCUCUUCUCUUUAAUCCGUCAAUAUAGCACACCCAAAAUACAGCAGGACCAAUUGUUUCUUUUACUACACCACAGCACAAACUUACAUGAAGAGGCAAAAAUUAAUCUACAUGGUAGGUGUACACAGUGUAUAAAGUGGCAUACUUGUGAUGCGUCGUGCACAACAAAAUAGAGAGGAAUAGAGGAGCAAAAACCUUGCAAGGAAUCCAAUACAAUUUCUUGCACAACAUUUAGCAUCAUCAUGUUAUGUAAUCCAUCUUCUCUACAAUGAGAAUAAAUGUUAGAAAAAAAUGGUAUGGAGCUGAAAACAGGACCCCAUAUCAUAGAUCAGUUAAGACAACAAAAGGGUAAAAAGCUUUGAGAAAAAAGAUAAGAAACUCAAGGCAGGCCAUGACAAACCAUGUAUUACGAAUAUGCAAUCCUCUACAUAAGAUAAUCUGGUUGGUAGGCAUUCAGUUUCCCCCCAUAACUGAAGCUACAAAACAACACCCAAAUACUCACAUUCAGUCAAGGUUAAUUAACUAAUAUGGUAAUAAAGUAGCAAAAGUAAAACAAUAGAAGCAAUAAUGAACAAAGAAGCUGCGCAGCAACAAUAGUUUGUCACAUGAUAUGCACCGUGCAUAGCAAAAUAGGGGGAAUUGCAGGGGGCAAAGGAGGGAAUCUGAAAAGAGAUGAAAGAUAAAUUUCUAGACAACAAAUAUUAGCCAGUCAAUCUAGCAGCAUCAUGUUAUGUAAUUCGUCUUCCCUGCAAUGAGAAUAAAUCUUCAAAAAAAAAGCUCUCUCUGUAUGGCUCUAUCGGACAGGGAAGCAUAUAACAGAGUAUAUCAAUGGUACAGAGCAGAACAUAAAGGGAUGAGGAGGCAAGAAAAAGUGUAACCAUGGUAAGAAGAUAUGCAGAGAGAGGCAAAGAACAUUUACUGUUGUCUGGUAACCCUAGCGAAGUCAACUAGUCCACCCUCGCCGGCUGCCGCCAAUAGCCAGGAAGGAGCGACCAGCCACCGCCACAAGAACCUCACAGUGAAGAUAGAACUCCAUGGCACUGGAUUAUGUCUCAACUCCAUGAUUCUCUCUCUCUCUCAAGCUUCGCUAAUUCUAGAUGCAAACCACGAAGCAGAAGGGGGAAGAGAGAGAGUGAGAGAGAUAGAGAGAGAGAGAGAGGGACUCAGCGAACAGUGGGCGCGUCGGGGAGAGGGAGAUCGAAACCCUAGCUAGGGUUUGCAUGCGGCGGAGCAGGAGCUGGGGAUGUCGACGCCGGCGAGGAAGCGGCCGACUCACCAGAUCAAACAGUUGUGGACCGGAUCGGCCACCUCACCAUCGGCUGACUCACCAAAUCAAGCUCUGCUUCACUGGAUCAACCUCCUCGCUGUCCUGCUGGAUGGAGCACCUCGGAAGGCAAGAGGUGGCGGCGUAUGGGUGGCAAGAGGGAGAUCGAGAGGAGGAAGGGAAGAAAAGGCGGUGGUCGGUUGCCGGCGUCAGGCGCCUUUGGGAGGCAGAGGGUUCUCGAUCUCUCUCUCCUCAACUGGAAUGAGUGACGGCGGAGAUCGCGAGUCGGGGGGGUUAGGGCGACGGGAUGGGUAGAGAGAAUGGAC
rnacentral:lncRNA from 1 species